rnacentral:lncRNA from 1 species
CCUAUUUAUGCAUUUGUUUUAACAAGAUUUUCACAGCAAGAGUAAAAGAAGCCAGAACAGGUGAAGCACCUCGUCCUCAGAUUCAGAAGAAUACUCAUCAGACCGGCUGCUCUCGACCUUCUUUAGAGGGAGCUUCUUCUUGACUUUAAGAUCAUUCUUCACAGGCACGACCUUCUCGGAUACUGUUUUUUGCUUCUUGGCACUGCCUGCUUUCUCAAUGUCGUCUUCCAUAUGUCUCAAUGUCAAAAUUUUAGUACUAAUAAUAGCACCACCUAAUAAAGAAAUAAUGAACUUGUAUCAGAACCAGACAUCACCAAUACAGUUAUUUUACCGGACACGACACGAGCAGAAUCUGACUAUGGUUGCAGGAUGAAAGAGAUGUCUACUUUAUCAACAUUUUGUGUCAUAUGUGGCCAACAGAUCGAGUACAGUGACUAAGCCCGUUCCCGUUUCAGAACCCUACCUAACUCGGCGAUGGAGGGAGGAAGAGAGCAUCCUGUGGAAUUGAAAAAUCCACAGAUCUGUGGGGUCGAGACGUGGCAGGGCGGGUGACUCACCUAUACCGGCGGCGAACUGUGAGGAGCAGAGAUUGGCGGGCCCUGACACGAUUGACCCCUCACCCUUGGGUAGUCGCUUCCUCG